UACAGAGGUCUCAAGCGUUGUUCGGAUUCAUUGGGCGUAAAGGGUGCGCAGGCGGUCGUUCAAGUCGCGUGUGAAAGCCCCCGGCUCAACUGGGGAGGGUCACGCGAUACUGAUCGACUCGAAGGCAGGAGAGGGUAGUGGAAUUCCCGGUGUAGUGGUGAAAUGCGUAGAUAUCGGGAGGAACACCAGUGGCGAAGGCGACUACCUGGCCUGUUCUUGACGCUGAGGCGCGAAAGCUAGGGGAGCAAACGGG
rnacentral:rRNA from 1 species